rnacentral:lncRNA from 1 species
CUCGGUCGUCCCCUUCUCAUAGUCUUAAUUAUCUUUUUUUCUCGUCUCUGCUAUAGCUUAGCAAUGACUUGAGCAGAGCCACCACCACUCAGAUUCCAGGUCUUUCCAUCACUCAAAUUGUCCGUAGUUUGCUUCACAUGAGUCUUUCCCACAUAAUAGUUAUAUUCAGGUGGUGAUUCAGGAAAAAGAUGAGGAAAGAAGGAACAUAGAAUUUAAAGGGUGACUUUGACUGGGAUAUUACUAUUUGCAAAAGCAUCAUCUACCAUUUUUGUGCAGAGGAUAAAGGGCUGAACGUGGGCAAAAGAAGGGAGGAUAAGAAGGGGCACUUUGCACUUAUUUGUAAACAUUCUGAUGAAGGAUAGUGGAAGUCAGCCUCUGAGAAGACAGGAAACAUGAAUUCAACCCAAGAAGCACCUCAGGCACUGGAUUCAUUAAGACCAUGAUUUGAAUUCUGGCCCUGACACUUAGUUACCAUGUUGCCAUGCUCCACCCUAGGCAACAAGCUUAACUCAUGGAGAAAAUGGACAGAAUAUAGAGUCAUGGUGAGAAUUAAAUAAGACAUGUUUUAUUUAACAACCACCAUUGCAAGAAUAAGGUCUCUUAAUCCUCACCACAACCCUGAAGAAGGAACUGUUAUUGUCAUUCCUAUUUUGCAGAUGGGAAGACUGAGACACAGGUCACAUAGCAGAGCCUGGAUUUCAACCCAGGAAGUCUGGUUAUAGCUUCUUUGCUCAUGCUCAGUGGACGCCACUGACUGGCACAUGGUGAUGGCAGAUAGGGACUCACAUAUCUACUUCCAUCUGAGCACAAUUGAUCCAGUGAGAGCCUUGCUGCAGAGGGAACGGCAUUUUCCCAGGCAAUCUUUGGUCUCUCCCCUGGUGAAGAAUUAUCAUGCCAUCUGGAACAAGGCAAUAUAUUCCUUUCACAGAAGUUGUGGAGCUAAUUAUCAACCAAUUCCAACAUAAACUGGCUUAGAAACAUGCAAUGACCAUCUCUGUAUUCCAAGUCACUGCUCUCUGAGCAGGAAAUUUUGACUUAAUGAAACGAUUGCUAUUUUGUACUUAAGUAGUGCUUACAGUUCAAAAAGAGCUGCCAAAUGUAGAAUCUCAACUGUUUUAUGUUGUUUGUCACAACAGAACUAUGAGAUUGAAAUGGGCCAGGAAUGACAGUUUACAUUUUCUAAAAGAAGAAAAGCAAAUUUGUAAGAGGAGAUGUGACUUGUCCAAGUUCCAGACUUCACAUCCGCCGGAGUCUUCCACACCAGCACCUCCUAAGGAUCAACCCAUUUGAGCUACGUAAGUAAUUUAUGUGCCUGUUUAUCUUCAGGUGCUCUCUCUUGUUGGCAAGUGAGGUAUUCUUGUAGAAAUCUUAUGUGUGCACACAUGCAAAGGGGCAUAAAUACAUAUGAAGGCUGAUAUUUCUGAUCAUUCAAGCAUCCGUUAUCCUCUGACUCAAAUGUGUAUUAAUUCUUUGCUCGUGGUGGCUGCCCUGGUGGCUCAGAUGGUAAAGAACCCGUCUACAAUGCAGGAGAUCCAGGUUUGAUCCCUAGGUGAGGAACAUCCCCUAGAGAAGGGACUGGCUACCCAAUCCAGUAUUCUUUCCUGGAGAAUUCCAUGGACAGAGGAGCCUGGCAAGCUACAGUCCACGGGG